rnacentral:lncRNA from 1 species
AUAAUGCUGGUAAAUAUCACAAAAAAUGGAAAAAAAGAAAAUAACAUCAUGCUGUAAAAGAUUAUAGAUACACGCUCUUUCUACCUGCCUCUCUUCUUCCCCUUGAAAAUUUUGUUGUGCGGUCUACAUUCUUUGAUGAGAGGAAAAAAAGAGGCUCAAACAUUUCAAUUCAGUAUUUCAUACCGAAAAAUAAAACCUAUAACACACACAGAAAAGGGGAGAAGUGUACAUACCUGAAUUGGCAAAAAAUCAGGCGCCAUUGAAACAUACACUGAUCACUCCAAACUUGUAGCUUCAUAUAUAUGGUUGGAAGGGGUUGCCGCCGUCGAAGAGAGAGGAUCUUUGACAUUAAGGAAGGAAAAAAAAAACAGGCUUGUGAGUAGAGAACGAUGAAAGAAAAGCCAAAAGAAACAGCAGCCGAUCGAGCGUUUUCCAGAAAAGAGAAAAGGGAAAAAAUAUUAUUACAGCUCCAUCGCAAGAGCAGAUAUGUCAACAAUUCUAUGUAAUUUACAGUACGCAGCAGAUAUAAAAUCAAAGGAGAUGCAAACAUAUAGUAAAAGUAGAAUUUAAUCAAGACAAGGAAAUUCAGGUAAGAGAGCAUAUUAAAAAACGAAUGCAUAACAGCAAGAAGAAUAGUGUCAAAUCAACCUAAACAGAAACCAAUAUCAGCCACAUCAAUAUUGACGAAACGUUACAGGGAAACACAUGGAAAAAUAAUCGAAGUAAAUGGUAAAUAUAGCAACUGAUUAGCAUUAUUAC